rnacentral:sRNA from 2 species
ACCUACUGCUGCCAAUCUAUCUAUCACUGCUAAUCUAUCACUGCUAAUCUAUCACUGCUAAUCUAUCACUGUCAAUCUACCUACCACUGCCAACCUAUCUACCACUGUCAACCUAUCUAUCACUGCCAAUCUAUAUAGGGUAAAUCAUGGUCCCAUUUGGUCCCAUUUUGUAAAAUGAAACCAAAUGGAACCAGAAUCACUAAUUUAUUAGUAAAACAUGAUCUGAGACUAGAUUUAUAAUAUAAACAGUGUAAAGUGACUAAUUUGCUAAACACUAUAUGAGAUCAGAACUAAGAUAUCUGAUAAUAAAACUGAGGAAAAAUUUGGUCCCAGUCCCAUGCAUGAUCACACAGCCAGUCUAAGUAUAUAUAAAAGACAGUCUGUUUUUAUAUUUCUG